CCCGAUCCGGAGCCGAGCUCUGCCAGCGGAUCGGGUGCAUGAGUCGUUACUGGCAGAGGCGGGGGAACCACAAUUGGCAGCGGGGGACUGCCUUGGGGUGAAGUCCGUCAGCAGCAAGCCUCUCCAGUGAAGGAUUCUUCCGGGAAUACCCCUGUGCAGAAGCUUGCCCAUGACGGGCCGGGUCUUUGAUCUCUCUGACCCGAAUCCGACAGCUAACUCCGCAGGCUUUUCCAGAGAGGAACC
rnacentral:sRNA from 1 species